AUUGAACGCUGGCGGCAGGCUUAACACAUGCAAGUCGAGCGGGGAAGGGUAGCUUGCUACCUGACCUAGCGGCGGACGGGUGAGUAAUGCUUAGGAAUCUGCCUAUUAGUGGGGGACAACAUUCCGAAAGGAAUGCUAAUACCGCAUACGCCCUACGGGGGAAAGCAGGGGAUCUUCGGACCUUGCGCUAAUAGAUGAGCCUAAGUCAGAUUAGCUAGUUGGUGGGGUAAAGGCCUACCAAGGCGACGAUCUGUAGCGGGUCUGAGAGGAUGAUCCGCCACGCGGGGACUGAGACACGGCCCAGACUACUACGGGAGGCAGCAGUGGGGAAUAUUGGACAAUGGGCGCAAGCCUGAUCCAGCCAUGCCGCGUGUGUGAAGAAGGCCUUUUGGUUGUAAAGCACUUUAAGCGAGGAGGAGGCUACUGGUAUUAAUACUACCGGAUAGUGGACGUUACUCGCAGAAUAAGCACCGGCUAACUCUGUGCCAGCCGCCGCCGUAA
rnacentral:rRNA from 1 species